AGUGUUUAAAAACACAGUGCAGCCUGAAAGGAGAGAGAAAAUCAGAAUCACGGUAUGGAUCCUGAGGACAGAAGUUACAGUGACAGGUCCUGAAAUAAGCCUUCUAUUUUUUUCACGCUGCCCUCUGGUAACUGAGCUGCAUAAGCUAGAAAGAACAGCCAGAAGCAAAUUAUUGGAAAUGGUUCUUUAGUUAUGUGCUAAUAUGUAUACAAGACUAAAGCAAGGGCUUUGUUUCUGGGUGGUAUUUGAAAGCCCAAAUGAAGGAGGCAAUGCCCAACUGGGAAAAAGUUGUGUUACAGAUUUCAUUUUUUCCUUUGUUUUAUUUUAUGAGAAACAGUUAAAGUUAAAGAAACCCAUUUUCUUGUGUUGACCUCUGUUACGGAGUUACAAAAAACAUCCAUCUUGUAAAUUCUAAAUAUAUUAUGCUAAGUAUUUCAGGCUAA